GGUUGUAUAGUGUAGCGGUUAUCACAUCGGAUUCUGAUUCAGUGUUUCUGCACUUUCCGGUAACCCCGGUUCGAUUCCGGGUACGACCU